rnacentral:rRNA from 1 species
GACGGAGGGGGCAAGCGUUGUUCGGAAUUAUUGGGCGUAAAGGGCGCGUAGGCGGAUUGGUAAGUCUGGCGUGAAAUCUCCACCACUCAACGGGGAGAGGUCGCUGGAAACUGCCGAUCUGGAGUUUGGCAGAGGGUCGUGGAAUUCCAGGUGUAGCGGUGGAAUGCGUAGAUAUCUGGAAGAACACCGGUGGCGAAGGCGGCGACCUGGGCCAAAACUGACGCUGAGGCGCGAAAGCCAGGGGAGCAAACGGG